CUCAAGGUGCCUCACACAAGUAAGGUCUAACCUUAACAACCCCCAGAGCAAGCACACAGCAUCUGUGGUAAGGAAAACUCCCUCUUUGGAAGAAACCUCAAGCAGGCCAGACUCAAAGGGGUGACCCCUCUGCUUGGUCAUGCUACCGACAC